GACGUAGGGCGCGAGCGUUGUCCGGAUUUAUUGGGCGUAAAGAGCUCGUAGGCGGCUUGUCGCGUCGGCUGUGAAAACCCGCAGCUCAACUGUGGGCUUGCAGCCGAUACGGGCGGGCUGGAGUUCGGUAGGGGAGACUGGAAUUCCUGGUGUAGCGGUGAAAUGCGCAGAUAUCAGGAGGAACACCGGUGGCGAAGGCGGCUUCCUGGACCGAUUACUGACGCUGAGGCGCGAAAGCUAGGGGAGCAAACGGG
rnacentral:rRNA from 1 species